rnacentral:tRNA from 1 species
GAGGGUAUAGCUCAGUGGCAGAGCAAUCGACUGCAGAUCGAUAGGUCCCAGAUUCGACUUCCGGUGCCCCCU